GGGUGAACGCUGGCGGCGUGCCUAAUACAUGCAAGUCGAGCGAACAGACGAGGAGCUUGCUCCUCUGACGUUAGCGGCGGACGGGUGAGUAACACGUGGAUAACCUACCUAUAAGACUGGGAUAACUUCGGGAAACCGGAGCUAAUACCGGAUAAUAUAUUGAACCGCAUGGUUCAAUAGUGAAAGACGGUUUUGCUGUCACUUAUAGAUGGAUCCGCGCCGCAUUAGCUAGUUGGUAAGGUAACGGCUUACCAAGGCAACGAUGCGUAGCCGACCUGAGAGGGUGAUCGGCCACACUGGAACUGAGACACGGUCCAGACUCCUACGGGAGGCAGCAGUAGGGAAUCUUCCGCAAUGGGCGAAAGCCUGACGGAGCAACGCCGCGUGAGUGAUGAAGGUCUUCGGAUCGUAAAACUCUGUUAUUAGGGAAGAACAAAUGUGUAAGUAACUAUGCACGUCUUGACGGUACCUAAUCAGAAAGCCACGGCUAACUACGUG
rnacentral:rRNA from 1 species